UACGUAGGGGGCUAGCGUUGUCCGGAAUCAUUGGGCGUAAAGCGCGUGUAGGCGGUUCGGUAAGUCCGCUGUGAAAGUCGGGGGCUCAACCCUCGAAAGCCGGUGGAUACUGUCGGACUAGAGUACGGAAGAGGCGAGUGGAAUUCCUGGUGUAGCGGUGAAAUGCGCAGAUAUCGGGAGGAACACCAGUGGCGAAGGCGGCUUCCUGGCCUGUUCUUGACGCUGAGGCGCGAAAGCUAGGGGAGCAAACGGG
rnacentral:rRNA from 1 species